rnacentral:rRNA from 1 species
CGGACGGGUGAGUAACGCGUGGGUAACCUGCCUUAUACAGGGGGAUAACAGUCAGAAAUGGCUGCUAAUACCGCAUAAGCGCACAGAGCUGCAUGGCUCAGUGUGAAAAACUCCGGUGGUAUAAGAUGGACCCGCGUUGGAUUAGCUAGUUGGUGGGGUAACGGCCCACCAAGGCGACGAUCAGUAGCCGGCUUGAGAGAGUGAACGGCCACAUUGGGACUGAGACACGGCCCAAACUCCUACGGGAGGCAGCAUG